rnacentral:rRNA from 1 species
GAUGAACACUGGCGGCGUGCCUAAUACAUGCAAGUUGAGCGAACAGACGAGGAGCUUGCUCCUCUGACGUUAGCGGCGGACGGGUGAGUAACACGUGGAUAACCUACCUAUAAGACUGGGAUAACUUCGGGAAACCGGAGCUAAUACCGGAUAAUAUAUUGAACCGCAUGGUUCAAUAGUGAAAGACGGUUUUGCUGUCACUUAUAGAUGGAUCCGCGCCGCAUUAGCUAGUUGGUAAGGUAACGGCUUACCAAGGCAACAAUGCGUAGCCGACCUGAGAGGGUGAUCGGCCACACUGGAACUGAGACACGGUCCAGACUCCUACGGGAGGCAGCAGUAGGGAAUCUUCCGCAAUGGGCGAAAGCCUGACGGAGCAACGCCGCGUGAGUGAUGAAGGUCUUCGGAUCGUAAAACUCUGUUAUUAGGGAAGAACAAAUGUGUAAGUAACUAUGCACGUCUUGACGGUACCUAAUCAGAAAGCCACGGCUAACUACGUGCCAGCCGCCGCAGUAA